UACGGAGGGUGCGAGCGUUAUCCGGAAUUACUGGGUUUAAAGGGUGCGUAGGCGGCUUUGUAAGUCAGGAGUGAUAGUUUGCGGCUCAACCGUAAAAUUGCUUUUGAUACUGCAGAGCUAGAAUCAGGAUGAGGUUAGCGGAAUGUGGCAUGUAGCGGUGAAAUGCAUAGAUAUGCCAUAGAACACCAAUUGCGAAGGCAGCUGGCUAGACCUGUAUUGACGCUGAGGCACGAAAGCGUGGGGAUCAAACAGG
rnacentral:rRNA from 1 species